rnacentral:rRNA from 1 species
AGUUCGAUCCCUGUCAGUUGAACGCUGGCAGGAUGCUUACGCAUGCAAGUCGAACGGCAGCACGGACUUCGGUCUGGUGGCGAGUAAGCGAACGGGUAGGUAAUGUAUCGGAACGUGCCUAGUAGCGGGGAUAACUUCGCGAAAGCGUAGCUAUUACCGCAUACGCCCUUCGGGGGAAAGCGGGGACCUUCGGGCCUCGCACUAUUAGAGCGGCCGAUAUCGGAUUAGCUAGUUGGUGGGGGUAACGGCUCACCAAGGCGACGAUCCGUAGCUGGUUUGAGGACGACCAGCCACGCUGGGACUGGGACGCGGCCCAGACUCCUGCGGGAGCAGCAGUGAGGGAAUUUUGGACAGUGGAAACCUGAUCAGCCAUCCCGCGUGUGCGAUGAAGGCCUUCGGGUUAUAAAGCACUUUGGCAGGAAAGAAACGGCACGGGAUAAUACCCCGUGCAUGACUGGCUACCUGCAGAAUAAGCACCGGCUAACUACGUGCCGCGCUUCGCGGUAAUACGUAGUAGGGUCUGUAGCGUUAAUCGGAAUUACUGGGCGUAAAGCGUGCGCAGACGGUUCGGAAGAAAAUCUUUAAAAAUCCCAGAGCUUAACUUUGGAACUGCAUUUUAACUACCGAGCUAGGUGUGUCAGAGGGAGGUGGAAUUCCGCGUGCGCCAGUGAAAUGCGUAGAUAUGCGGAGGAACACCGAUGGCGAAAAUAAUACUCCUGGGAUAACACUGACGCUCAUGCACAGCGUGGGAGCAAACGGGGAUUUAGAUGCCCUGGUGAAUCCACGCCCUAAACGAUGUCAACUAGCUGUUGGGGCCUUCGGGCCUUGGUGACGCAGCUAACGCGUGAAGUUGACCGCCUGGGGAAACCACGGUCGCAAGAUUAAAACUCAAAGGGAAUUGACGGGACCCGCACAAGCGGUGGAUGAUGUGGAUUAAUUCGAUGCAACGCGAAAAACCUUACCUACCCUUGACAUGUCUGGAAUCCGAGAUUUGGGAGUGCUCGCAAGAGAACCCGGGAGCACAGGUGCUGCAUGGCUGUCGCUCGUGUCGGUGAGAUGUUGGGUUAAGUCCGCAACAGGCGCAACCAUAUGUUAGUUGCUACGAAGGGCACUCUAAUGAGACUGCCGGUGACAAACCGGAGGAAGGUGGGGAUGACGUCAAGUCCUCAUGGCCCUUAUGGGUAGGGCUUCACGUCGUAAUGGUCGGGACAGAGGGUCGCCAACCCGCGAGGGGAACCAAUCCCAGAAACCCGAUCGUAGUCCGGAUCGCGGUCUGCAACUCGACUGCGUGAAGUCGGAAUCGCGCUAGUAAUCGGAUCAGCAUGUCGCGGUGAAUACGUUCCCAGGUCUUGUACACGCACCGCCCGUCACACCAUGGGAGUGGUUUUACCAGAAGUAGUUAGCCUAACCUGGGAGGGCGAUUACCACAGUGGGAUUCAUGACUGGGGUGAAGUCGUAAUAAGGUGG